UACGAAGGGGGCUAGCGUUAUCCGGAAUUACUGGGCGUAAAGAGUUGCGUAGGUGGCAUCGUAAGUCGGUAGUGAAAGCGUGCGGCUCAACCGCAUAUACAUUAUCGAAACUGCGAAGCUAGAGGACGAGAGAGGUACCUGGAAUUCCUAGUGUAGGAGUGAAAUCCGUAGAUAUUAGGAAGGAACACCGAUGGCGUAGGCAGGGUACUGGCUUGUUCCUGACACUAAGGCACGAAAGCGUGGGGAGCGAACGGGG
rnacentral:rRNA from 1 species